AGGGAUAGGGUCGGUUCGUCCGGGUUUCACACAGGUGUUGCAUGGCUGUCGUCAGCUCGUGUCGUGAGAUGUUGGGUUAAGUCCCGCAACGAGCGCAACCCUCAUCCUUAGUUACCAUCAGGUAAUGCUGGGGACUUUAAGGAAACUGCCAGUGAUAAACUGGAGGAAGGUGGGGAUGAUGUCAAGUCAUCAUGGCCCUUAUGGAGUGGGCUACACACGUGCUACAAUGGUGGCUACAAUGGGCUGCAAAGUCGCGAGGCUAAGCUAAUCCCUUAAAAGCCAUCUCAGUUCGGAUUGUACUCUGCAACUCGAGUGCAUGAAGUUGGAAUCGCUAGUAAUCGUGGAUCAGCACGCCACGGUGAAUACGUUCUCGGGUCUUGUACACACUGCCCGUCACGCCAUGGGAAUUGGU
rnacentral:rRNA from 1 species